AACGAACGCUGGCGGCAGGCUUAACACAUGCAAGUCGAGCGCCCCGCAAGGGGAGCGGCAGACGGGUGAGUAACGCGUGGGAAUCUACCCAAUACUACGGAAUAGCUCCGGGAAACUGGAAUUAAUACCGUAUGUGCCCUACGGGGGAAGGAUUUAUCGGUAUUGGAUGAGCCCGCGUUGGAUUAGCUAGUUGGUGAGGUAAUGGCUCACCAAGGCGACGAUCCAUAGCUGGUCUGAGAGGAUGAUCAGCCACACUGGGACUGAGACACGGCCCAGACUCCUACGGGAGGCAGCAGUGGGGAAUAUUGGACAAUGGGCGAAAGCCUGAUCCAGCCAUGCCGCGUGAGUGAUGAAGGCCUUAGGGUUGUAACGCUCUUUCAGGUGGGAAGAUAAUGACGGUACCACCAGAAGAAGCCCCGGCUAACUUCGUGCCAGCAGCCGCAGUAAAAC
rnacentral:rRNA from 1 species